ensembl:lncRNA novel transcript
CUUGGCGACAUGGCGAGGAGCUGGGAAGACGGACACCGGAACGUGAGGAACACGAGUAGUUCAAGAAAAUGCUGAAGAUGCGCUUGGCUGGGAAGCUAGGAUAGGCUGACGAAGUCAGACUUAGUGUGGGAACCUGACCUAAGUCAAUGUUAGUCUACCACUGUACGUCUGGUAACCUCAAUCCCUGCAACCGGAGCAAAAUGUGAUUCCAGGUCUUGGCAACCUUUGAAAUUCCAAUUCCAUUUGCAAGAGCUUUGAGGAGGCCAUAUGCUGAUUUCACCACAAGCAACUUCACAACCCAGUACUGGAAUGCCAUCAGCCAGCAGGCCCCUGCCAUUAUCUGUGACUUCUAUCUGUGGCUCAUUGGAAGGAAACCCAGGUGAGAAGCUGAGUCAAUGGCUUUGAGAAUGUCACUGCAUAUGGGAGAUUGAGGCCCCAAAGUCUUUAGGGCUUCCUUCAGCCAAAGAUUAAAGGAGACAACUGAAUCUGACCCAUAUAUACAGAUUGAACACACCUACUCUGAAAAUCCAAAAUCUGAAAUUCUCCAAAAUC